ACCUACGGGGCGCAGCAGUAGGGAAUCUUCCACAAUGGGCGCAAGCCUGAUGGAGCAACGCCGCGUGGGUGAAGAAGGUCUUCGGAUCGUAAAACCCUUUUGUUAGAGAAGAAAGUGCGUGAGAGUAACUGUUCACGUUUCGACGGUAUCUAACCAGAAAGCCACGGCUAACUACGUGCCAGCAGCCGCGGUAAUACGUAGGUGGCAGGCGUUAUCCGGAUUUAUUGGGCGUAAAGGGAACGCAGGCGGUCUUUUAAGUCUGAUGGGAAAGCCUUCGGCUUACCCGGAGUAGUGCAUUGGAAACG
rnacentral:rRNA from 1 species